rnacentral:rRNA from 1 species
CCUACGGGGGGCAGCAGUGGGGAAUAUUGGGCAAUGGACACAAGUCUGACCCAGCAACGCCGCGUGAAGGAAGAAGGCUUUCGGGUUGUAAACUUCUUUUAAGGGGGAAGAGCAGAAGACGGUACCCCUUGAAUAAGCCACGGCUAACUACGUGCCAGCAGCCGCGGUAAUACGUAGGUGGCAAGCGUUGUCCGGAUUUACUGGGUGUAAAGGGCGUGCAGCCGGAGAGACAAGUCAGAUGUGAAAUCCACGGGCUCAACCCGUGAACUGCAUUUGAAACUGUUUCCCUUGAGUGUCGGAGAGGUAAUCGGAAUUCCUUGUGUAGCGGUGAAAUGCGUAGAUAUAAGGAAGAACACCAGUGGAAGGCAAGUGUCCGGGGUGCAACUGACGCUGAGGCUCGAAAGUGCGGGUAUCAAACAGGAUUAGAUACCCUUGUAGUC